rnacentral:rRNA from 1 species
AUUGAACGCUGGCGGCGUGCCUAACACAUGCAAGUCGAGCGGUAACAGGUGUAGCAAUACAUGCUGACGAGCGGCGGACGGGUGAGUAACGCUUGGGAAUCUGCCUAUUAGUGGGGGACAACCCGGGGAAACUCGGGCUAAUACCGCAUACGCACUACGGUGGAAAGCCGGGGACCGCAAGGCCUGGCGCUAACAGAUGAGCCCAAGUCGGAUUAGCUAGUUGGUAGGGUAACGGCCACCAAGGCGACGAUCCGUAACUGGUCUGAGAGGACGACCAGUCACACCGGAACUGAGACACGGUCCGGACUCCUACGGGAGGCAGCAGUGGGGAAUAUUGGACAAUGGGCGAAAGCCUGAUCCAGCGACGCCGCGUGGGUGAAGAAGGCCUGCGGGUUGUAAAGCCCUUUUCAGUGGGGAAGAAAAGCCUCGAGCUAAUAUCUCGGGGUCUUGACGUAACCCAUAGAAGAAGCACCGGCUAACUCUGUGCCAGCCGCCGCCGUAAG